GAACUAACUGGGCAAAGGCUCUCCUAAGGCAGGCAGACUUCAGUGUUGCCCGUUUCUCAGUUCUCUGAAGCUUGCUUACCUCCAAAGUGCCUUUGCCAUAGCCCUGUA
ensembl:miRNA